UAGGGAAUCUUCGGCAAUGGACGAAAGUCUGACCGAGCAACGCCGCGUGAGUGAAGAAGGUUUUCGGAUCGUAAAACUCUGUUGUUAGAGAAGAACAAGGACGUUAGUAACUGAACGUCCCCUGACGGUAUCUAACCAGAAAGCCACGGCUAACUACGUGCCAGCAGCCGCGGUAAUACGUAGGUGGCAAGCGUUGUCCGGAUUUAUUGGGCGUAAAGCGAGCGCAGGCGGUUUCUUAAGUCAGAUGUGAAAGCCCCCGGCUCAACCGGGGAGGGUCAUUGGGAACUGGGAGGCUUGAGUGCAGAAGAGGAGAGUGGAAUUCCAUGUGUAGCGGUGAAAUGCGUAGAUAUAUGGAGGAACACCAGUGGCGAAGGCGGCUCUCUGGUCUGUAACUGACGCUGAGGCUCGAAAGCGUGGGGAGCAAACAGG
rnacentral:rRNA from 1 species